UCAUCUCAUCCUCUUAGUCUUUUCCUAAUUUCCACCUUCUUUUAAGAAUCCUGAGGCCGGCCUCGUGGCACAGUGGUUAAGUGUGCACAUUCUGCUUCGGUGGCCUGGGGUUCGCCAGUUCAGAUCCCGGGUACGGACAUGGCACCGCUUGGCAAGCCAUGCUGUGGCAGGUGUCCCACAUAUAAAGUAGAGGAAGAUGGGCAUGGAUGUUCACUCAGGGCCAGUCUUCCUCAGCAAAAAGAGGAGGAUUGGUAGCAGAUGUUAGCUCAGGGCUAAUCUUCCUCAAAAAAAAAAAAAAAGAAUUCUUGCUGAGCUAAAGUUGAGGAAGUCUCCAAAUGGAUUAUGUGUAGGACAGUGGGGUCUCCCAGUCAGUUUAUUGCUUCUAAGGUCUUUCGUGGGACAGAGGGGAGGAGAGUAGUUGUUGCGGGUGGUACAAUUUAAAGUUAGGGAGACGAGAAAAUGCAUCAGUAUCUUUAGGAAAUAGCAAAUAACCAGUUGUAUAGACAUCCAUCCAUCUCAGUAGAGUGAAAGACCUUGAGAAUUGGGCAUGACAUUUAUUAGAAACCAUCACAAGUUGGUCGGGGAAUUGAAAAGCUGAGUGGACGUGUGGCCUGUGGGUUUCAGAGCAGUUGGCGGCAGUGCCAGAGUUCCAUGGGCUGGGGCCUCUCUUCAGGUCCUCGCCUGAGCCUGUGGCCCUCACUGAAUCAGGGACAGAGUACGUUGUCUGCUGCACCAAACACACCUUCACUGACCACAUGGUGUUCCAGUUUGACUGCACGAACACACUCAACGACCAGACCUUGGAGAAUGUCACGGUGCAGAUGGAGCCCACUGAGGCCUACAAGGUGCUCUGUUAAGUGCCUGCCCGGAACCUUCCCUACAACCAGCCUGGGACCUGAUACACACUGGUGGCACUGCCCAAGGAAGACGCCACAGCUGUGGCCUGCAUGUUCAGCUGCAUGA
rnacentral:lncRNA from 1 species